AAAACGGCCCUUUUCAGGGCCAACAUUACUAUUAAAGAAUUGUUU
rfam:Aedes aegypti strain Liverpool supercont1.265 genomic scaffold, whole genome shotgun sequence.